rnacentral:misc_RNA from 1 species
AACGCAACUUGCGCCUUUUACGAGGCAUGUUUGUUUGAGUGCCGCAAUCCUCUGCAGCAAUGCGAUUUGACUCGAGUCUUUGUUGACCGAGUUUAAACAAAGCUAGAGGAUGGUCAGUUUGGACUAGUCCGAGUGCUAAGCAUUCUUGGGUCUAGGACGGAUUGAUCAUUAAAUCUACUUUUUUAUUUGGCCUCAAAUCAAGCAAGACUACCCGCUGAACUUAA